UACAGAGGUCUCAAGCGUUGUUCGGAUUCAUUGGGCGUAAAGGGUGCGUGGGCGGCGCGGUAAGUCGGGUGUGAAAUCUUGGAGCUUAACUCCGAAACUGCAUUCGAUACUGCCGUGCUUGAGGACUGGAGAGGAGACUGGAAUUUACGGUGUAGCGGUGAAAUGCGUAGAUAUCGUAAGGAAGACCAGUGGCGAAGGCGGGUCUCUGGACAGUUCCUGACGCUGAGGCACGAAGGUCAGGGGAGCAAACGGG
rnacentral:rRNA from 1 species